AGUGAACGCUGGCGGUAGGCCUAACACAUGCAAGUCGAACGGCAGCACAGUAAGAGCUUGCUCUUACGGGUGGCGAGUGGCGGACGGGUGAGGAAUACAUCGGAAUCUACUUUUUCGUGGGGGAUAACGUAGGGAAACUUACGCUAAUACCGCAUACGACCUACGGGUGAAAGCAGGGGAUCUUCGGACCUUGCGCGAUUGAAUGAGCCGAUGUCGGAUUAGCUAGUUGGCGGGGUAAAGGCCCACCAAGGCGACGAUCCGUAGCUGGUCUGAGAGGAUGAUCAGCCACACUGGAACUGAGACACGGUCCAGACUCCUACGGGAGGCAGCAGUGGGGAAUAUUGGACAAUGGGCGCAAGCCUGACCCAGCCAUACCGCGUGGGUGAAGAAGGCCUUCGGGUUGUAAAGCCCCUUUGUUGGGAAAGAAAAGCAGCAGGUUAAUACCCCGCUGUUCUGACGGUACCCAAAGAAUAAGCACCGGCUAACUUCGUG
rnacentral:rRNA from 1 species